rnacentral:rRNA from 1 species
AGUGAACGCUGGCGGUAGGCCUAACACAUGCAAGUCGAACGGCAGCGCAGUAAGAGCUUGCUCUUACGGGUGGCGAGUGGCGGACGGGUGAGGAAUACAUCGGAAUCUACUUUUUCGUGGGGGAUAACGUAGGGAAACUUACGCUAAUACCGCAUACGACCUACGGGUGAAAGCAGGGGAUCUUCGGACCUUGCGCGAUUGAAUGAGCCGAUGCCGGAUUAGCUAGUUGGCGGGGUAAAGGCCCACCAAGGCGACGAUCCGUAGCUGGUCUGAGAGGAUGAUCAGCCACACUGGAACUGAGACACGGUCCAGACUCCUACGGGAGGCAGCAGUGGGGAAUAUUGGACAAUGGGCGCAAGCCUGAUCCAGCCAUACCGCGUGGGUGAAGAAGGCCUUCGGGUUGUAAAGCCCUUUUGUUGGGAAAGAAAAGCAGCAGGUUAAUACCCCGCUGUUCUGACGGUACCCAAAGAAUAAGCACCGGCUAACUUCGUG